CUUUUCUUCAGCGUUCAGGGGGAACGGAUUAUACUUACAUUUUUUUGGCAUGAAUACGAUCAAAUGGCACAAUAUUAGCCCUAUGAGUGUCUUCUUUUAAUCAUCAGUCCGUUCUCACUGAUUACUGUGCAAAAACACUUGAGACAGCAAAU